rnacentral:rRNA from 1 species
UACGUAGGGGGCAAGCGUUAUCCGGAUUUAUUGGGUGUAAAGGGCGUGUAGGCGGGAAAGCAAGUCAGAUGUGAAAACUCAGGGCUCAACCCUGAGCCUGCAUUUGAAACUGUUUUUCUUGAGUGCCGGAGAGGCAGGCGGAAUUCCUAGUGUAGCGGUGAAAUGCGUAGAUAUUAGGAGGAACACCAGUGGCGAAGGCGGCCUGCUGGACGGUGACUGACGCUGAGGCUCGAAAGCGUGGGGAGCAAACAGG